rnacentral:rRNA from 2 species
GCAUAUCAAUAAGCGGAGGAAAAAGAAACCAACAGGGAUUGCCCCCAGUAACGGCGAAGUGAAGCGGCAACAGCUCAAAUUUGAAAUCUGGCCCCCUAGGGUCCGAGUUGUAAUUUGUAGAGGAUGCUUUUGGCGCGGCGCCUUCCGAGUUCCCUGGAACGGGACGCCAUAGAGGGUGAGAGCCCCGUCUGGUUGGAUGCCUAGCCUCUGUAAAGCUCCUUCGACGAGUCGAGUAGUUUGGGAAUGCUGCUCUAAAUGGGAGGUAUAUGUCUUCUAAAGCUAAAUACCGGCCAGAGACCGAUAGCGCACAAGUAGAGUGAUCGAAAGAUGAAAAGCACUUUGAAAAGAGGGUUAAAUAGUACGUGAAAUUGUUGAAAGGGAAGCGUUUGUGACCAGACUUGGGCCCGGUUGAUCAUCCAGCGUUUUCGCUGGUGCACUCUGCCGGCCCAGGCCAGCAUCAGUUCGCGCCGGGGGAUAAAGGCUUCGGGAAUGUGGCUCUUCGGAGUGUUAUAGCCCGUUGUGUAAUACCCUGGUGCGGACUGAGGUUCGCGCUCCGCAAGGAUGCUGGCGUAAUGGUCAUCAGCGACCCGUCUUGAAACACGGACCAAGGAGUCGUCUUCGUAUGCGAGUGUUCGGGUGUCAAACCCCUACGCGUAAUGAAAGUGAACGCAGGUGAGAGCUUCGGCGCAUCAUCGACCGAUCCUGAUGUUCUCGGAUGGAUUUGAGUAAGAGCAUACGGGGCCGGACCCGAAAGAAGGUGAACUAUGCCUGUAUAGGGUGAAGCCAGAGGAAACUCUGGUGGAGGCUCGCAGCGGUUCUGACGUGCAAAUCGAUCGUCAAAUAUGGGCAUGGGGGGCGAAAGACUAAUCGA